rnacentral:tRNA from 1 species
GUGGGCGUAGCUCAAUCGGUAGAGCGCUUGGCUGUGGCCCAAGUGGGUGUGGGUUCGAGUCCCAUCGCUCACC